AUUGCCUAUAAUUUCCACCCGUUGUCUAUCCCAUUUGCACAACAGCAUGUGAAAUUGAUUGUCACUCAGUGUUGCUAACUAAAUGGACAGUUUGAUUUCACAGAAGUGUGAUUGACUUGGAGUUACAUUGUGUUGUUUAAGUGUUCCCUUUAUUUUUUUGAGCAGUGUAUAUAAAUAUUGGUCCCUGGGGAAGUUUCUAUGGAAACGAAAAUGCGUCGAACCGCUGAUCUAUCAUUGCUUUUAUAUAUUUUUUUUAAUCGAUUUGAGGCUUCAAAUAAACCCGUUUAUACCUACCAACCUGGUUCCUUAUUCUGAUCCGGAGUGCUAUUACCAGACAGAGGAUCCUGAACCCCCUCACAAUGGAAGGCAACUUCAAGGCGCUGUAUCAUUCCAUACUGAGUAGGGGCACUGUUUAUACUUACAUACAG